rnacentral:rRNA from 1 species
AGAGUUUGAUCCUGGCUCAGAACGAACGCUGGCGGCGUGCCUAAGACAUGCAAGUCGUGCGAGAAAAGGGCUUCGGCCCCUAGUACAGCGGCGCACGGGUGAGUAACGCGUGGGUAACCUACCUCGAAGUUUGGAAUAACUCGGGGAAACCUGAGCUAAUACCGGAUGAGCCCACGAGGCCCUCGGGUCAUGUGGGAAAAGAUGGCCUCUGCUUGCAAGCUAUCGCUACGAGAUGAGCCCGCGUCCCAUUAGCUAGUUGGCGAGGUAACGGCUCACCAAGGCGACGAUGGGUAGCUGGUCUGAGAGGACGAUCAGCCACACUGGAACUGAGACACGGUCCAGACUCCUACGGGAGGCAGCAGUCGGGAAUAUUGGGCAAUGGGCGCAAGCCUGACCCAGCGACGCCGCGUGAGGGAUGGAGGCCUUCGGGUCGUAAACCUCUGUCGGGGGGGAAGAACGGCGGUGAGGUGAAUAAUCCCACUGUCUGACGGUACCUCCAAAGGAAGCGCCGGCUAACUCCGUGCCAGCAGCCGCGGUAAUACGGAGGGCGCAAGCGUUGUUCGGAAUCACUGGGCGUAAAGCGCGUGUAGGCGGCCGGGCAAGUCGGAUGUGAAAUCCCGAGGCUCAACCUCGGAACUGCACUCGAAACUGCUCGGCUCGAGUCCCGGAGAGGAUGGCGGAAUUCCCGGUGUAGGGGUGAAAUCCGUAGAUAUCGGGAGGAACACCAGUGGCGAAGGCGGCCAUCUGGACGGUGACUGACGCUGAGACGCGAAAGCGUGGGGAGCAAACAGGAUUAGAUA